rnacentral:rRNA from 1 species
CAGUCCUACGGGGGGCAGCAGUGAGGAAUAUUGGUCAAUGGGCGGGAGCCUGAACCAGCCAAGUCGCGUGAGGGAAGACGGUCCUAUGGAUUGUAAACCUCUUUAGGCGGGGAGCAAUGCCGGGCACGUGUGCCCGGAGGGAGAGUACCCGCAGAAUAAGCAUCGGCUAACUCCGUGCCAGCAGCCGCGGUAAUACGGAGGAUGCGAGCGUUAUCCGGAUUUAUUGGGUUUAAAGGGUGCGUAGGCGGAUUUUUAAGUCAGCGGAAAAAUGUGCGGGCUCAAACCGGGCCGGCGG